rnacentral:tRNA from 1 species
GCACCUUUAGCUCAGUGGUAGAGCGUUCCGUUCACAUCGGAAAGGCCGUAAGUUCGAUCCUUACAAGGUGCA